AGCUGGGCUAUACCAUUACUUCUGCAUCUGGUGUACCUGUGAACCUAUAUUAGUUUGCAGGAUUCCAGUAGUAACUGUUGUUUGUAUAAUCAGUUCUGGCUAUCUAGUUUUGGCAAAGAAUCCAUCCUGAUGUUGGGGUAACAUGAAUUUCUGCAGAGUGAUUGUCAAUGACAUUUUGUGAUCUUUACAAAGAGUCAUUUCACAGACCUGCAGGAAAUGCAUGUUGCCGAAUUUGGUAGUAAAACAGUAACAACACUGCCAGGAUAAACAGACAAACAAUAUUUUUGUUUAAAAAAUUUGAAUGACUUAUCUGUAAUUUU